GACGAACGCUGGCGGCGUGCCUAAUACAUGCAAGUCGAACGCAGUGGGGACGGGUGAGUAACACGUGGGUAACCUCCCAUCAGAGGAGCUAACACUUGGAAACAGGUGCUAAACCGAUAGUGAUGGAUGACCCCGCGGUGCAUUAGCUAGGUGGUGAGGUAACGGCGCACCAAGGCCAAGAUGCAGAGCGUACCUCAGAGGGUGAUCGGCCACACGGGGACUGAUACACGGCCCAGCAUCCUACGGGAGGCAGCAGUAGGUAAGCGUCGGCAAUGGACGAAAGUCUGACCGAGCAACGCCGCGUGAGUGAAGAAGGUUUUCGGAUCGUAAAACUCUGUUGUUAGAGAAGCGGUAUCUAACCAGAAAGCCACGGCUAACUACGUGCCAGCAGCCGCUGUAAUAC
rnacentral:rRNA from 1 species